GACGAACUGUCCUAACGUUGUUCGGAAUCACUGGGCUUAAAGGGCGCGUAGGCGGUCCGACAAGUCAGGGGUGAAAUCCCCGGGCUCAACCUGGGAACUGCAUUUGUGACUGCAAGGCUAGAGUACGGUAGAGGGGGAUGGAAUUCCGCGUGUAGCAGUGAAAUGCGUAGAUAUGCGGAGGAACACCGAUGGCGAAGGCAAUCCCCUGGACCUGUACUGACGCUCAUGCACGAAAGCGUGGGGAGCAAACAGG
rnacentral:rRNA from 1 species